rnacentral:misc_RNA from 1 species
AAGUCGUAACAAGGUUUCCGUAGGUGAACCUGCGGAAGGAUCAUUAACACGUAUAAUACGUAUCCAAACCAAACCGUGAACUGUUUUUCGGGGAAUGAACCGUGUAACAACGGUUCAAACCCUCCUCCCUAACAAGGAUUAGUGUCUGUUUAGAUCUAUGGUGGGUAUGGCGCAAGUCAUACGGUUUAAACAGGCUAUCUUGCCUUCGAGCUCGGAACUAAUCUUUGGUAGGCUUAACUUUGCUCUCACCUAACCUUUUCACUACAGGGUUAGGCUUGAUUGACACCUUUAACCUCUUAAACCAUUUGACUGAUACUAUUUUCACUUUGGAGAAAUCCUUAGUGCGAAUCGAAAUAUUCUAACUAAGCACAACUCUUAGCAAUGGAUAUCUUGGUUCUC